AGCUCCGGGGUGUUUCACAUAUUAGAUUGCAAAUCUUAAGUCGCAGAUUAACCUCUGUCGGAGCUU
rnacentral:tRNA from 1 species